UGAUCUCUGCAUCUUUAAGUCAUUUUUUUUGUUCCAUUUUUCCUACGCAUGUGAUAAGUGGAUUAUAUACACUUAUCCGGUAUCUUUUAUUUGAAUUAGUUGCUUAUAUUUAUGUGUCUUAGUUACUUUUCAUGCAUUUUGUGUUUAUUUUGUAGGUUAUACGUUUGGGAGCGGUGUGAGCGACUAUUGGUAAGGAAAAGCAAAGAAAAUGCAAAGAAAAGCAAAUCGGACAUCAUUUGAGCUUUCAUGUUUACUUCAUGUUCUUGGUUUGGAACUUAGCUUACAUUGAAGAGCAUCGUCUUAGCUUUCCGAAACAUUUUGAAUCAUUUCAAUCAGAGUUCGGAUGCAAGAGUUAUGAUCGUUGUACCAACGAACGUCGAACGUCAUGGUUUUGAGUGGUCAUUUGCAUAGCAGUCACUUUCAGCUCAAUUUUCGCCUUCAUCCGCCCAGAAUUUCUCAAUCCUCAAAGAAUGAAAAUUGUAUAUCUCGUCGAUAUCUUCAAUUUGAUAAGUAGCAGGCCCCGUAACUCCUCCCAGAUCAAAAGUUAUGGCCAUUUUACCAGAGGACGUCGGAGCAGAAAAUAAGCUUGAUUUGGGCCCCCCGGCGCUGUCCCAUGCUCUGACAUUUUCUGCUCAAUCAAGGGGAAUGGAGAUUGACAGACUCGCGACGCUUUCCGCAAUGUCAGCACAAAUUAAAGAACUUUCGAGGAAGUUGGACGUUAUCGCAUCCCAACAGAGUCGAAGGAUGGCCGUUAUGUGUGACUAUUGUGCUGGCAAUCACCCGAGUAAUCAAUGCACCAUCAAUCCUAGGCCGGUACAGUAUGGUGGUAACUACCUCAAUCAGUAUGCAUAUGAUAAUUAUGAACAAGUUUGGGGGUAUCACCCGGAUUCUUCAUGGAGCUACAACUAUCAAGACCAAUACUCUACUCCAAAUCCAACAUACACGCCGGAAUUCUCAUCUCAACCUCUAUUAAAAGAAGAAAAUUCAAGGUUGGAGGAAUUGUGGUCCAAGUUCGAGGAGAGAGGGAUUAAUCAAACAGGGUCAAUUCUAAAACUUGCGGAUCAGAUAGAGCAAAUGACCAAAGUCAUAAACAACCUUCCUCCAAACACUUGGCUUUAUGACAUGGAUGACGAAAUUGAUGAAAUGCCCGAGCCAAAUCUACAACUGAAUGAGACACGAGAUGUUGAAAAAGAUGAGACAAGUGAGGAUAAUAAAAAUAAGGUCGGUGAAGAACUAACUAUGAUUACCAACGAGGAGGAGCCGAUGUUAUUAGUGCCCCAAGUUCCUUCUCCAUCAAAGUUCAAGAAUCUGGUUAGAUUUGCAAAAUCUUGUCCGCUAGGUAGUCAUGUCGUCGGCAAUACUCCUUGUGACGUAAAAGCGAGUACAACUUCGAAGCCAUGGUUCAAUGAGUUGGAGAAGAUAGAAGAAGAGAUUGUUGUGUCUGACAAGCCUUAAUGCCAGAAUCUAUUAGCAGACACAAUGGAAAAAACACCUAGAUGUUGGACGUUCUUUAAUGUGAUCUUAUCUAAACAAAGCAUGCUAGGUGACUUUAAUACAAUGGCUAUCGUAAAUGGGAACCUACCAAAAGCUAUAUUAGUUCCGAUGGAUGAAGGGUUCCUCAACUUUCGAAGAGGAAUUGGAUAGCAUUGACCAGACAAAGUCAGGCUGAAAGACUAUAAAUCAAGCGCUGACUGGGAGGCAACCCAGGAAUUUUUAUAUUUAUAUGCUUUACUAGUUUAUUUAGUAGAUAGGAAUUAAUUUGCUUAGUAAGUUCUCUUAUAAUCUAAUACAUGUUGUCUCUCUUCAUUGCAGGUAUUGGAGGUUCAAUGGAUAGGAAAAUGAUCGUCGCUACCAUCGCCACCAGCACCUCACGCUUAGCUGAUUACAGGGAAGUUCUCUUCUACUUAUCGCUAUAUUCUUACAAUGAGGACAUUGUAAUUGCUAAGUUUGGGGGAGUUUAGUUUAGUUCGUUAUUGCAUGUUUAGUUUCAUGUUUAUGUUAUGUUAUUUUGCAUAUGUUGUUAAUAUAGUUUAGGUUCAUUAUAAAAAAAAAAUUCAAAAAUUCAAAAAUAAUAGUUAGUUACUAUGUUCAUUUUGCAUAAGUCCAGUAGUUUGUUAUAGUUAAGUUUAUUUUGGCCAAUGAUGAUAUUGGAAUUGGGUAAACAAGUAUAAUACUGACUAUUAGAGCUUUGAUGUGAUUUCUUGUUAUAAAUUGAAUCUUUUUCUGUUUGAAAACUAGUAUAAUAAUGAUAGCACAGUAAAAAUAACUUGUUGAUUGAUUGAGUUUAAAUUGAUACAUAAUGGGACUCUAAAGGAUAAUGCUAGUUUGAAUGAAAGAAUGACAAGAAUAAGUAGUGAUGACUAAAGUUAGACAAGAACCUAAGUUUGGGGGAAUAUUUGGGGUAUAUAAGCUAUAUAAAAAAAAAGAAGAAAAAGAAAAACAAAGAAAAAGAAAAAAAAAGUAUCAAUAAACACCGUGGCAUGUUUGUCUAGUUUUGUGGCCUUUGUUACUUGAGUAAGUAAGCCCGAGGAGAUUGUCUUUACACCUAGCGCCCUAAGGUCUUAAUGGUCUCGGAGUCGUUGGUCAAAAGCUCGUUAAGGUAGCAUUGAAAAGCCUAAGGGAAUAAGACAUUGCAUAACUAUGUGUAUAUAAAAAAAAAGAGAAUAAAGCGGGAAAAAAGAGCAAAAAGCCCUCGUAGUUGAAAAUAAAGCACAAGUAUCCCAUGUUGACCCUCGAUAUUGGUAAUUGUUUGAUUUUAGUUGGAUCUAGCUUGUUUUUGGAUUUCUUGAGUUUACCCUGUAUGAUGCCUUCGAAGAGACUUGUUAUGUGUUACAUUUGAUUUUAUAUCAGUUAGCAUGGUUGUUGAGCACACACAUGCACUAUACCAGUAAUAACAGUUUAAGACUUGAUGAUUGACUAGGAAAUUGUUGAUUGGUUUUGUUAUGAAGUAUUGUCGUGUUUGCUUGAUUGCUCUAAGGCCGAAUGAAUAGAUUUGAUUCUAUCAAAUACUGCUGGAUUCGUAGGCAUAUAGAUUAGUUGUAUUUCAUUGCAUUGCAUUGCAUUAUGUUGUGUUGCUUGGGGACAAGCAACAGUUUAAUUUUGGGGGUAUUUGAUAAGUGGAUUUUAUAUACACUUAUCCGGUAUCUUUUACUUGAAUUAGUUGCUUAUAUUUAUGUGUCUUAGUUACUUUUCAUGCAUUUUGUGUUUAUUUUGUAGGUUAUACGUUUGGGAGCGAUGUGAGCGACUAUUGGUAAGGAAAAGCAAAGAAAAUGCAAAGAAAAGUAAAUCGGACAUCAUUUGGGCUUUCAUGUUUACUUCAUGUUCUUGGUUUGGAACUUAGCUUACAUUGAAGAGCAUCGUCUUAGCUUUCCGAAAUAUUUUGAAUCAUUCCAAUCAGAGUUCGGAUGCAAGAGUUAUGAUCGUUGUACUAACGGACGUCAAACGUCAUGGUUUUGAGUGGUCAUUUGCAUAGCAGUCACUUCCAACUCAAUUUCCGCCUUAAUCCGCCCAGAAUUUCUCAAUCUCAAAGAAUGAAAGUUGUAUAUCUCGUCGAUAUCUUCGAUUUGAUAGGUGGCAGGCCCCGUAACUCCUCCCGGAUCAAAAGUUAUGGCCGUUUUACCAGAGGACGUCAGAGCAGAAAAUGUCAGAACAUGGGGCAGCGCCGGGGCGCCCAAAUUAGGCUUAUUUUCAGCGUCGAGGCACUAGGGAGCAGAUUCUCAGCGCCAUGCCCAGCGUUGGGGGAAGAGAUUGAUGCGGUCUGGACGCGUUUUGGGCGAAUUUUGACACCUUUUUGACUCCAAAUUGGAUUGGGUUUGUUCCUAAACUAAAAAUUGGACUUGUAACCUAUAAAUACAUGAUGUAAGGCAUAAAAUAAGAGGGAGAUGACAUAGAUUAGAUUAGAGAUACACUCCAUUAGAUUAGAACAUAACUCUAGUUCUUAAUUAGCCAUUGGAGAUUGAAGCAAAUUGAAGAACAUUGAAGAUUAAAAGCAAGAGCAAGAGGGGAGCAUCAGAUUUGCUGACAACAGAUUCUAUUCUCUUCUCUCAUCUUACUUUU
rnacentral:lncRNA from 1 species